ensembl:lncRNA
GUAAGAAAACCCGCCCGGGGGAGCGGGGCGGGGUGGAGGGGGUAGGCGAGCCGCAGAUCUCGUGCCGCCUCGGCCUCGCGGGAGGCGGGGGUGGCGGACGCAGCCGGCCCUUCUCAGGUAACGCUGCGGCCUCGCGCGCGGCCCGGGGGCGGCGCGAGGGGCGGGGGCGCGCGAGCGCGGGCUUCGGCCUAUAAAAGGGCCGCCCCGCCGUUCCCUCCCGAACGUGCGAGACGCCGGGCCCCCGCCUCUGCCGCCGUUCUGCAGUGUCUGCACCCGGCCGCUUAAUGAGAUUUAUUCACGCUCGGCUCUGCUCAUCUUUGCCAGGGGUUGGCAGAUCCAGUGCACAGGGAUUUCCCACCGCAGUGUUUUUCUCCCGCCCCUUUGCUUCCCUCUCGCCGUAGUAUAUCCUUCCUUGGUUUCCUCCCGGGGCCCGCCGGCUGCGUCCCGGGCGCGCGCCUGGACAUGUAAGGACUUGUCAGUUCCCAGUGACCUCCCUCCUCCCCUGCCUUCUUCGGCGGAAUGUAGGAUUAAGAGCCCUUCAGCGAAAUUUUCGGCCAAAGAAAAAGGCCCAUGAAAGUCACCGCAUCAGAUGUGGACUCCCAGUGUUACUCAUUAAUGGUUUGUGUGAGGGUUUACUAGCCUAAGGCCAGAAAGCAAAAGGGAAGGCCCGUUAGACGAAACAACUUCAUCCAAAAAGGAGGGGUGCAGUUGUGAAAGCAAGGGGUUAAAAAAAAGUGUAGUAAGCGAUGCAGCUGAGUUGUCCAUAAUAUUGGAACCAUUAGGUUUUUGUCUGACUUGGUCACUAACACUGGGCGUGACCUUGGACAAAUUGUUUUUUUCCGGGGCCUCAGUUUGCUCACCUGUGAAACGAGAGUUUUCACUUAAAAAUUUGUAAGAGUUUCCUCCCAGUAAAAUUAUUUAAGCAGUAGACGGCAGAAACCGUGGUUUCGAGUUUGAAAUAUGCUACUGAAUUAGGACUUUUGACAGUCAUUUUCAAUCUAUCCAAAUUAGAGAUCGUUCUUUCACACAUGUAUUUCCAGGUGUAUUUUAAUGGUUAAUAGGUUGCUAUAUAUUUGAAGUGUUGUGAGAGAUUCUCAUUUGGAGAUACUGUGGUUCUCAAAGUAGGAAAACCAGAAAGCUCAAAGGGAGAGCACUGGUAAGCUGUCUAUAAAUUCCACGACAUAAAAUGCUAAUAAGAAUCUGUGCUCCAGGGAAUUCGAGACUGAUUACCGCAUCAAAUUAGCUUGCGUUUUCAACCUGAGAGCAUGAUUAUAAACAUAUCUUGCAAGAUUUCUACUAAUAUCCAGAAAAUUACCUAGUAUCUUAAGAGGCAAAAUCUCUUAAGUUGGUUUAAGUUUUAGAUGGCAAUGGAAGUGAUUUUUAAAAAGGACUACCAUACAAAAUGCAUUUUCUGGAAAAAUAUCUUGUACAAGCUGAAUAUCAGAUGCACAGUACCAGUGAUUCUCACAGUAUUCUAUGCCACUAGAGUGUUCUUUAAAAUUUAAAAUUUUGAAAAAAGAUUUAAUAGCUUGGCCCUUACUAAAUCACAUUUUUGAGGGAUGGGACCUGGAAAUCUGUCUUGUUAGCAACUCCACCCACCGCUGUUGUGGUUCUUCGAUAAUAUAAAAUCAUGAAUGUCUGUAUUAUAUUACAAUCUAGUAAACCCAUAAUAUUUAUACUAUUCCUAACUAGAAAAAGGUAAAAGUGUUCCUGCCUGGGAAAUCCCAUUGACAGAAGAGUCUGGUGGGUUACAGUACAUGGGUCACAAGUGUUGAACACAAUUUAGUGACUAAACAAUUAGCAACCAUCAAAUUCACAGAUUAGCUAUUUCUAGAAAAUGUUUUCUUUCCUCCUACCUCUUAAAUCAACAUCAUUUACUUUAAGAAAAGGCAGUUGCAACCACCAUUCCGAUCCUUCUAGAACUCCAAGGAAGGAAUGUUCACUCUUGAAGAAAAACAUUUGCAGCAUGAAAUUAGGAUAUUGUGUCCAGUUACAUGCAAUUAAAUUAAUGCUCAGAUUGAAAACCUGACAGUACUCCCCUAAUUAAUCACUGUCAAAUGUGUUUUGUAAAUAUAUUCUUCAGAGGUAAGAAAGAGCUCUGGACUCUUGAGUUAGAGAAUGAAAAACCAUCAUUUACUAGGUAAAUGAGUUUGGAAAGAUAACUGUUUUGGGGGGUUUCUUUCCUCAUCUAAAUGGAGAGUAAUUCCUGUUUUAACUUUUAUGGGAUAUUAUAUGAGAUAAUAUAUAUAAAAGUAUCCUAAUAAUCUUUGACAUCAGACAUUUAACUCAUCUGAAAACAGUAAAAUCAUUUGGAACUCUUACCUACAUACAAUAUGAGAAAUGCUGAAAUUGAACUCUAUACUCAAUAACCUUAAAGCAUCUUUUUUAGUUGUUACUGUUAAGUGACUGUUUGCCAAAUGAUUUGAGAUAUAGUGACAAAAGAAGCAGACAUGUUUCCUGCUCUUAGAGGUUUUACAGUCUAGCAUCACAGAAAUGUAUUAUCGUCAUAUCAAUGAACAUGUGAUCAUCUCUUCUGGUUCACUGACCUAUGCUCAUCAUGUCAUGCCUUUAGUAAAAGCCUGCUCAGCCUUCUAUACCAAUGCUGUUCAAUGUCUGUUAGCAUCUGCCUCUUAGCAGUUUAUAAUCUAGAACAGAAAGCAAUGGACACCAUAAUUUUUUGGCAGAUAUUAUAAGAUGGCUUACUCAACACUUAUCCAACCCCCUUCUAGCUUGCUUUUCUGUACUUCAGAAGUUAGAAAAUUAUAAAAUACUGUUUCAACACUGCCUUGCAACUGGAGUACUGGCAUGGAUGAGUGGUGUGCUGGUAAGUCAUUAAGGAUGGCUGGAGGAGGGGAAAGACCCUGAUUUCUAGUACUGACCAAUUUUCAUUGUGUGAAUACUCCCAGGCUAUCAAAGUGGUUUCACUGAAUGGGGAGUUAGUUGGAGAAGAAGCUGAGGAUUACCAGCUAGCUUCAGCCUUUCACUCCAUGCGACCUAGUUUCCAGCAAUCAAAUGUGCCCAUUCAAGACAUAGACCUGAAAAUGAGCAACACAAUGCCUCAACUGCACUCAGGGCAAUGGGAUUUUCUGGCAAACACCAUGGCAGAGGUGUCUGAUUCUUCUGAGUAGCUGGGGAGGAAUUCUGGCAUCCGUUUUGGGAGUCUUAGGUGCUGUGGCAAGAGGUGCUACGGUGGGUUUCUGCUAGAAUAGCAAUGUGAUGUGGGAUGAAUGUUCUUCCUGGUGUGGUUUUUUUCUGGAUGUUGUUUCUAGCGAUGUAUUAUCCAAGCCUGAUUGUCUGGUCCUCUCAGAGAUCUAUGAGCUAAGUACUAUCCUUUAAUCCCUUUCUGCUUAAACUAGCUCAGUCACAGUCAGCUACACAGUUUGUUGAGCCCAGAGCAAAAUGAAAAAUGUAGGGCCCCUGUUCACAAAGCAGGAAAAAAGUUGCCAUUACAUGUACUGAAAAUAUAAGGCUUUUUCUUUCUUCUGUCAUCUCUCCCUCAACUUGUCAUGCUGUUUUUUUAAUUUGUGUUUUAAUGUCAUUCUGAGUGUCGAAAAAUUAGAAUUUUAGAUUAUUAGGAUGAAUUUUAUAAUGUAUCUUUAAUUGUGCAGUGCCAUUUAUAGAUGCAAAUUCAAGAGCAUUUAACUCAUACACGAAAUCACCAAAAUUACACAGUUCAUAUUUUGUAGUUUGUACAUCCCACAAGGAUGUAUUUUGUGCUUUUCAGAGCAGUGUAAAUACUGCAUACAACCAACUCAGCUGUUUUUCUUUCCCUUCUUGAUAGGAGCACAGCCUAUCAACCUGAGUAAGGAAGGACUGAACUGAAAGGAACUAUGGGUUGCCCUACCUUUCCCCUUCCUUCUGUGUCAUCAUUUUCAGUGAAAAUAGUCAUACAGAAAAGUAACACACAAGAAAGGAUAUGACAGAGUUAUUUGGUCACGUGUGUAUCUUAAGAUGCCACUGUCUUGUUUCUGUACCUGACACAACUUCUGGUUGAAAUGGAAUGCAUUGCCUCUUAGAACUGUCAGUGCCUCCACUAAAUCAGUCGCUGAUGUAACAUGCUUGCCUUGUAGCCACUUUGUAACUCUCUGAGUUCCUGCACUACUUAGGUUCAUCAUAAUCCUUGUGAGGCAUUAUACUGAUGUAUGCAAACUGGGUAUAAGGAAAAAGACAAACAGGUUGCCUCCUCUACUUGCCUGUAUGAUCCAUUGUACCACUGACUUCUUUUAUAAAACAGACAUUCAAACAUAAAAGUAUUAAGAUUUUCAGCAUGGUAACUGCAGAGCAUUAAACCAAGCAGUGGACCCUGUAUGACUGCACAGUUUGCAUGCCCAUGAAGUUGACCCUGAGCUCAGUGUUUCUCAAGGGGGGUUCUCCUGAUAUUUUGGAUGAAACAAUUCUUUAUUGUGCAGGAUAUUUAACAUCCCUGACCCCUGGGCACUACAUUCCACUGUGAUAAAAAUGCCCCCAUAUAUUUCUAAAUGCCCCCAAAGAGGAGUUACUUCUCUCUACUGAACUCCUGGAGUGGACUCUGAUGUCUGCAGCUAGGAACCAUGAUCAUUACAGAUCUAGGAAAGGUCAUGUGCAAUUUUUGCUUUGGAUUCUCAAGCAGAGCAAAAUACAGAGUUGAGUUAAAAAAAGAUUUCAAAAUUCUCAUACCUGGGAGAGCAGAAUUAUGGUGAUCUUUUUUUUCCAUUAUCAGAAAAAUAAUAUGAACGACCUUGGUGAUGAAGCAAACAUUUGGGAAUGAAAAUUUAAAGGGGACCAGUGAAUUUUAUGUGUCACUUGCAUAUAAAUGGUAGUUGAUCUUUUCUAAGGGAAAUUUUUACUCAGUCCUUCAUACAGUGUCUGGCCUCUUUGAAACCAUGAUGGAAAAGAAACUCAUUUCCUCCUGGAAGGGAUUUAGAAGACCUAAGUAAAUAUGGCAAACUCUGGAGGCAGUUGCCAUUGGACUGCUCGCUCUCAAAAAGAGUUCAUGUAGGUUUCCCCCAGUUUAUUCACAGCAGUCAUCUGGGUAUAAGAUAGGCACAUAAAUAUGUAUUGCCUGAAUGAUUAAUAAAAUAUUUUUUUACUAAAAGAAUGGAGUUUUAUGUCUCUUCUUUAAAAAAAAAAAAAAACUGAAGGACAGUAAAAUUAAUCAUGGUGAGAGCUGAAUUUCUCUGUUCUUAUCUUUUUAACCAGUUAAUCUGCUCAGUCACAGGGAGAAACAAAACUUUCAGAAAACAACUUUCAACUCUUCUACUUCCAUAAAUUAGCAGUAGUAGUUUUAAGGGAGAGACCAAUAGCCUAUAAAUUAAAGAAGAUGUUUAGGAAACAAAAAACUUUCAGAAUAGAGUAAUAUUAGAAAUGAUGCUUGCGCUCUCCAGGACCCUCAUCUAAAUUACAUAUCCAGAACUAAUAUUGGGGCAUUUCCAGUGGAUUAUGCCUAGGCCGGAAGAAACCAAACCCAUAUAAUGAAUGAGGUUAGUUUAAGUUCUCAGUUUAAAUAAUCAAAAUAACAAAAUCUUACAAGCAAGUGUCUGUAGACAUAUCUCAGGGUAGUUUUCCCUUGCCCCAAAGUCCCCACUGCACAGCUUAAAUCACACUGCAGGAGAACUUCCACUAAUAAUUGUUACUGACAGUAAACUCUCCUGGGUUUUGAUCCUCAAUUUGCAUCCCCUUUCCAGGAGCCAGGAGAGCCUAUUUACUGUCAGAUGUGUAGGUCACAGAACACUUGUGUUUCCUUAUUUCAGUAAAAUAUGUUUCUCUAAUCUUAAAGAUUUGAAAUGCAUAGGAAAGAAAAUAUGAAAAACCAUAAAAUAUAGGACAUUCAAUCCCACCCAAAGGCAGUUAUGAUUAACAUUUUAGUCCAUUUUUUCCCUAGAAAAUGUUUCAAUAAAUACUUUUCAUAAUGGAAAUAAUCUCUUGGGUUCUUUUUUUCACUUUACAUUGAAGCAGAAACAUUUCCCAUGCAAAUGAGAAUUCUUUGUAUACAUUGUUCUAAUGGAUGCAGAAUACACUGUGUCAUGGAUGUACAAUAGCUUCCAUUUUCCUACUGUUGGCCAGUAACAAUGUUUCAAAUUUUGUUAUAAAUAUCACAGUGAUUAGCUCCAUUUUGGAUCCUACUCUUAACUUUGCAGGAAUUUACUUUACUGUUUAUUAUUUCACAAGAGCAUCAGUUCUCCAUACAUGCCAUGUUCUUCCUCUCCAAAGAAGAGAGAACUGUAUGUGAUUUUCUUUCUGCCUGGUUUGUUCUUCCACUCUCCACCUCUUUUCCCUAGUUACUCUUUAAAUUUCAGGUCAGGGACUUCCUUGGUGGUCCAGUGGCUAAGACUCUGAGCUCCCAGUCCAGGGGGCCCAGGUUCGAUCCUUGGUCAGGGAGCUAGAUCCCACAUGCUACAACUAAGACCCAGAGCAGCCAAAUUAAAAAAAAAAAAAAAUUCAGGUCAAAGUUCACUUAUGGAGGGCUUCCCCAACUGUAUUUGAUUAUGUUUCUCUGUUACACACUCUAAUUGUACUGUUUUUUUUUCCAUAGCACUUACCUUGUUGCAAUAACCCAUUCACUUGUGUAUAAUUUAAUUUUUGUCCCCCCCUCCAACUAGAAUACUACAAUCAUUAUCUGGAUAAGCAGUGAUUAUAAUGCUGUAAUAAACACAGGCCAAUUAAUGUGAUCUCAUACGUAUCGCUGAUAAAAUGGGUUAAAGCUUGAGGUUGAAAUUAGUCCAAAAAUACUAAGGUGCCAGUUAUUAUGCUAAGAGCUAGGAAUAUAGAAGUGAAAAUGACAGGCAUGACUUCAGCUUUCAUUCUUAUAUUCUAGUGCAGGGUUUAGCAAAUUUUUCCUGUAAAGGGACAGAUAAAUUUUAGGUUUUUCAGGCCAUACGGUCUCUCUCACAAACUAUUCAACUUUGCCAUAGAAACACAAAAACAAUCAUGAAUCACACAUAUAUGAAAGAGUGAAUUCCAAUAAAACUUUAUUUAAAAAACAGGCAGCGGGGCUGGGUUUGAUCCAUGAGCUGUUCACUGCUCCCUGGUCUAGUGGAAAAGACAGCUAUUAAACAGAUCAUUUGAGAUGACCAAAUACUUCCAAAGAACAGGGUGCCAUUCUCACAUGGCAAAGCUGUCCAACUUAGUCUAGAGAGAAGAAUAAAGACUUUCUUGAGGAAUAUGACUCUAAGUUAAUAUUUAAGGAGGAAGAGGAGUUAUCUGGGUAAAAGUAAGGGUAACAAUAGGGACCUUCCUGUGUCAGUAGAUGCUUAAAUUUAGAAGCAAGAUUUUUCAUAGGUAGUAAUGACACAAAUUUAGCUGUUUUCUCUUGGUCACCUAUAUUAAGCAUGUAUUUUAUUCCUUCUAAGCAUUUUGUAUUGUUUUAACUUUUUGUUAACUUGUUGAUAUCUAUAAAGUCCUAUGUUAGAUGCUGAGGGUGAUUCAAAAAAUGUAAGACCUAGCUCUGUGCUAAAGUAUUAUGUAAUUGACCAAUAAAUUGUAAGUUUCUUGACAUUUUGACAUUUCCUUUUUUACUUGCACAGUAUCACACAUAUGGUUGGUACUGCAGAAAUAGUUUUCCCCUGCUCUCUGCAUUGCACCAUUUGCUGACAAAAUGGUUUCCAGUAUAGCCACUUCUGUAUGACUUGGACAAAACGUGCUGCUCUCUGAAGCAGACACUAUUCUGAAGGCAUCAGUAACAGUAAUUUCAGCUUGUUGAAGGCAGGGGUUGUUUGUGUAAAGGUCAGCCUGUCAGUAAAUAACAUGCCAACCUGUUCCUUCAAGAUUGUAACAAACCUUUGUAUGUGUGUUUUUAUAUCUUUAAAAUUAAAAAAAAAAUUUUAAAGAAUAGUGGGAAACUGUACCCAGUGGUCUCACCAGAUGUUUUCAAACCAGAACUAGGGCAGUUGUGUUGUAAUUUGUUUUUGAAACAUUUACUUCCACAAAUUUAUGACAGCAGGGAACUGAGAGGUGGGUUUUGUUGUUGUUUUUUUUUUGCCUAAACUAGCAAGUAAUUUCAUUUUCCAUUCGACUUUAGCAGACCUAGCCUUAGGAUGAAAAUAUGGGACUUCCCAGAUAAUCCAUUGAGAACUGCACUCUCCCGGUGCAGGGCCCUGGGUUCGAUUCCUGGUUGGGGAACCAGAUCCCACAUACCACAGCUAAGAUCGAAGACCACACAUGCUGCAGCUAACACUCGGCACAGCCAAAUAUUUUUAAAAUGUGAAGCAGAGGUUCUUGCCAAGUUUAAAAAGUACAGCAAAGAUUAGUCUUAAGAAUGAGGGGAAACAUUACUCAUUUUUCUAGAGCCGCUGCUUCUGCAUUACUAUGAGCUGUUCCUAGACUGUAAACACAUAUACAUAAAGGAGAAAGACACCUUUCUAGAAUAUCCAGUCCCCUGUGCUAGGGAUAUCCAGGGUCUUUCCAAGAUUAUUAAUGACCAUGACACUUGGCUACAUCUGCCUCUUUACCAGUGUUCCUGCCCUCAUCCUGAGUAAAUUUCAUCACCCAGAGAGACAGCUUCCUAGCACCAGCCUCAGAGUUCCUUGAUGUGAUCUUCAGCCUCUCGCUUCUGUUGCCACACUGAGAAUCUCAUCAUACAUCCAACUCCUCUGACUUCAGAAAUACAGUCUUCACAUCUGGCCAGAACUUUCAUCCUAACUCGCUGUCUCAGUUACUCCCAGCACAGCAAUUCUCAGUUCCCUGACGUCUCAUUUCCAGUGCUCUUCCCAGCUCUGCUGCAGCCUCUACCUUCUCGGGUUUCUCUGAGUUGGGAACUCCAUUCCAGAGACUUCACUUCUUUCUCCCUAUCAGCCUUCUCCUGCCUUCACUUCUUUUGUCUCCUGCUGCAUUCUGUUUUAAGUUAUCACUCUUGCCUGGAACUAUGUCUCCUUUGCUGUGUUGCCCUGGUAUCACCUGGGAAAACACCAGUUUCACUGUCUGCUCCCAGGUUGCUGAGUGCACCCAGAUAGAGAAAAAUAACUGCUGUGCGUAUUGGCAGUUAUGUUCAGGCAGUUAUGAGCAGUUCAGUCGCUCAGUCAUGUCCAGCUCUUUGUGAUCCCACGGACUGCAGCUCACCAGGCUUCCCUGUCUGUCAUCAACUCCCAGAGCUUGUUCAAACUCAUGUCCAUUGAGUCGGUGAUGCCAUCCAACCAUCUCAUCCUCUGUCGUCCCCUUCUCCUCCUGCCUUUAAUCUUUCCCAGCAUCAGGGUCUUUUCCAGUGAAUCAGUUCUUCACAUCAGGUUUCCAAAGUAUUGGAGUUUGUUUCAGCUUCAGCAUCAGUCCUUCCAAUGAAUAUUCAGGACUGAUUUCUUUUAGGAUUGACUGGUUUGAUCUCCUUGCAGUCCAGGGGACUCUCGAGAGUCUUCUCCAGCACCACAAUUUAAAAGCAUCAGUUCUUCGAUGCUCAGCCUUCUUUAUGUGUUCAACUCUCACAUCCAUACAUGACUACUGAAAAAAACCAUAGCUUUGACUAGACAGACUUUUUUCAGUGCAAUAAAUUCACCUUUGUUGAUAAUGCUAAAUUGUCACUUUGUCAGUAACACUAAAUUCAGGACCUCCAAUCCUGGCUAGAUCAUUCUCUAUCCAUACUGUUGGGAAGAGAAGGUUUUCUUUAUAAUGUAUUAGUCUCUACCCAUCUGAACCUCCUGCUUCAUAAACCAAGAUACAAUGUUAUAAAUUCUUUGUAUACCCAAAAGUACUAGUAGGCUGAAUCAUUUCAAUUACAUUAACCUCUCUCUGAUUCUCUAAUUUAGCUUUUGUGCUUACUUUCCUGUUUUACUUUAUAUCAAUAGUUUGGGGUCUUGUCUAUCCAAUAAGGUAAAUGUUUAAUGUUUUUAAAAUUAAUAUUUGAAUAGUCAAAAAGAACAGUCUCAAACAUUAUGGAAUGAAAUGAUAAUGGAAGGGAAAUCACUACUACGAUACUUACCCUUUUAGAAGCAAAUCCAAGUAGUCUCCAGUUGUAACUUGGAGCCAGAGGCCUAAGGCUCAGCUCACUUGAUUCAUUCCAUUCUUGCCUUUCCCAGCUUCCCCUUUCCAUCAUUUCUGAUCCCACAAAUUUCUGAGAACACACUCCCUUUCCCGCCUGAACUAGCAGGCAAAGCAGUACUGCAUGGAUGGGCAACAGCAGUGUGUAUGUUUGUACAUAUACUUGUUUACUGAGUGGCGGCAUGGUUAAGAAUUCACUCUACAACCCAGCUUCCCUAGGUCCCUGCUCUGUGAUUUUGGGCAGAUUACUUUCUGUACCUCAGUUCUCCCAUCCGAGAUAUACAGAUGAUAAUACUAAGUUCCUACCUCACAGAGUGGUUGUGAGGAUUGAAUUGUUAUUUUAGUUACUAAGUUGUAUCUGAUUCUUUUGCAACCCCGUAGAUGGAGCCCACCAAGCCCCUUUGUCCAUGGGAUUUUCCAGGCAAGAAUACUGGAGUGGGUUGCUCUGCCUUUCUGCGGGGCAAUCUUCCUGAUCCAGGAAUUGAACCUGUGUCUCUUGCAUUGGCAGAAGAUUGAAUUAUGUGUUUUAAAUGAGUUAAUACCUUAAAACUGGUAAGCACCCAGUAACUGUAAGCUAUUAUUCAUAACUUAGGAUAAAUUAUUUAUUGGGAGGACUGAUGCUGAAGCUCCAAUACUUUGGCCACCUGAUGUGAAGAGCCAACUCACAGGAAAAAACCUUGGUGUUGGGAAAGAUGGAGGGCAGGAAGAGAAGGGGGCAACAGAGGAUAAGAUGUUUGGAUGGUAUCACUGACUCAAUGGACAUGUUUGAGCAGACUCAGAGAGAUAGUGAAGGACAGAGAAGCCUGGUGUGCUGCAGUCCAUGGGGUCACAAAGAGUUGGACACAACUGAACAACUACACAACAACAAUAUUAUAGCUUCUUUAUUACCUGAAAUACACUUCAUUAAGGAAUGAUGGAAAGGGGAAGCUGGGAAAGGCAAGAAUGAAAUGACUCAAGGGAGCUGAGCCUUAGGCCUCUGGCCCGGAGUUAUAACAACUAGAGACUACUUGGAUUUGCCUAAAAUAGUAUUCAUUAAGAAGAGAAUAAUGAUGAAAGCUGGGAGCUAUUAAAAUUCCAUUGACUGAACAUAACAAGUAGAGUUUUAAAAUUUCAAAGACCCAUGAAAUGGUUUAGUCCUUUGAUUCUUAACCCAGUAAUACGUAUCAGGAUCACCCAUGAAGUAUUGUAAAGUCACACUUACCCAGACUCUCCCAUCUCACAUCUACCAAGUCAGAAAUACCAAGUUCUAAUGCCUCUUCCUCUAAAGAACCGUUAAGCUAAUUCAGGUCUUUAGAUUUUAUGAUGAGGAAAUAGAGAUUUAGAAUAAGUAACUUGCCUAAAACCCCAAAGAGUAUGUGGGUGCCAGGUCACCUAGCUCCUUGGUAAGUCAUCUUCCUAUUCUUUUAUGUUGUUUGCCAAAUACUGACUUUUAAAGAAAUUAAUAUGGGAGUUUAUCCUUGUCUCAGUAGUAUCAGAAAGAAUAAUAUAGGUUUUAAAAGUAUACUUUUUCAGCAUUUAAUUCAAAACAAAAUUUAUUUUACAAUUCAUGCCAAGGACUACUGCAUGUUUACAAUAAAAUUUAAAGUGAAUUUUGCUGUGUGUUUCAUGUAGACAUUAGUUUUUGCCACAAUGCUUGCUGCUAAUUAGUAUAAGAAAACACUGCGUGUGGCAGAGAGCUGCUCAACUCGACCGCACAGACUGACAGGCAAACAAAACAAAUGCUUGAUAAGGAAAGGAAGCUGUGAGGCAUUAAAUUCUUUAGAGCUCUCAAUAAUAAAAUAGGCAUUUCUGAUAAUUAGGAUUUUUUUGUUUUAUGUUAAAAUUUUUUUAAAAAACCUUUGUGAAAUAUUCUUGGAAUUUUCCAGGCUGUGAACAGUCCACGUAGGAAAAUCACUGGGUAUUAGGGUCAUGUUUUUCAGUGGCUAAGUCGUGUCUGACUCUUUGUGAUCCAAUGGACAGUAGCACAUCAGGCUUCCCUAUCUAUCACUUACUAGGUACCAUUUUCUUAUUGUAGCUUUACUAAUUUGUAGAAUAAAAAAUCUGAAAAAUAUAGCAAAAAUUUUUUUCUGAAUUUUUGUAUUUGAUAUUGAGUACUAUGAUAUUGUAUCUCUUAAAAUGUUUUUCUCUAUCCAUAAUAUAAAGGGAAAAAAAGUACAUUAGAACUUGUGUGUAAUCUUGUGCAAAACUAUGAAAUUAAGGAGACAAGGCAGAAGCAAGAAAAUGGAGCUCAAAUUAAAUCUGUCAAAGCAAAUUGAUUUAUAUUUCACUAUGUUUGCAAUUAUAAAUUUAUUUCCAUGUAUGUGUUUCUUUGCUAGAAAUGAUAAAUGGCUGCCCGCCCAACUUAUGAUUCUUAGGCAACUCCAUUCUACCAACAAACCACUCAUUUUGAUUUGGUAAGUGCUAUGCAUAAGCCCCUAAAGAAGUCUACUAUCCUGGAUCCCCAUCCACUUAUUAUUAACCUAUUAUUAUUUCUACUUUCCUUUGCCUUACUCCAUACCAUUUGCUCUACACAUUGUCUCAGGUUUGGCCUUUGGAUCUUUUUAAUUGAUGCUUGUGUUUGGCCUCCUGGCAUCUCACUACAACCUGAUCAUCUUUGGUUUUAGACUCAGCUUCUAGUUCCGACCACCAAGACUUAUAUCCCUUGAUUCCAGCAGUUCAGGAAUUCCUGAUGCAGCCACUGGCUGCUUUCUGUAAGGGAUCAGUCCCAAACACUAGCCCCAUAUUAUAAACAUCCAUUUGUGCAACAGAUUAUGAUCACCACUACUAUGUGUAAGGCACAGGAGUAGUUUCUGGGAAAUACAGAAAAUUAAGUAGUAAUAGAAAGCUUCUUAAUGCUCUCAAAAUCCGGUAAAACAAAUAAUACAAGCUUAUAAUGAAGUUUAAGAUAGUAUGUGUUUAACUCAUGAAGUAUUUAUACAAACAAGACAUUAGUUUUAAAAAGUUCCGAAUAGAAAGAUCCUUAACUCAGGAGUUAACAGGUAUGUGGUACAAGAGGGCAUGUCCAAAAGAACCUGAAAUGUGAGUCAUGGAUUAAAAAAGGUUAGGAACACUGACUUCCCAGGUGGUGCUAGUGAGUGGUAAAGAACUUGCCUGCAAAUACAGGAGGCAUAAGAGACCCAAGUUUGAUCCCUGGGUUGGAAAGAUCCCUUGGAGAAGGGCAUGUCAAGCCACUCCAGUAUUCUUGCCUAGAGAAUCCCAUGGACAGAGGAGCCUGGCGGGCUAUAGUCCAUGGGGUCACAAAGAAUCAGACACAACUGAAGCAACUUGGCAUGCACACACAUACUGACAAAUUUUACCUAGACUCUGAAGGUAGAGUAAGGUAGAGUAUACACCAUGGGACAAACACAUUUCAAAAAGUGGAACCAAACCAAUAAGAGCAGAAAAGGUUUUAUUGAAAAAACCUUGUUUGUCUAGACACGGUUGACAGUGUAAGUAACAAGUGGAAGAAAGCCUAGAAAAGUUGGUUGAAACCAGAUUAUGGAAGGGUUUGAAUACUGAGAGGUUUAUAGUUGGCAAGCAUGUUUUGGGGAGUCUGAUAGUUUUGAGCAGGAAAUGAUGAUCGGUUUGAUUUAGCAUUGCUGUACAGGAAGGAUUUGGUAGCGAGGAGAUAGGCAGGCAGAGACUGCAGACCAGGAAGUCAGUCAGGAGGCUAACACAUAUACUAACCUAAAGUAAGGAGGGCCUGGAGAUGAUUUCAUUAAGUGCCUGUUUUGAGUCCAGUGCUGGUAAUACAAUUGAGGGCUAGGUCCUUGUCUUUAGUCUCAUGAGAUAUUGAUCUCUUAAAGGCUCCUAGAGGGGUCUCAAUGCAGACCUUUGGGACCACUUCUGAUCCUUGCUAGGGAAUUAGGUCCUUGCUAGUUACUAGGGAAUUAGAUCCUCAUUUUACAAUAGAACGUAUUCCCUACCUUCUAAAACUACUUUUCCAUUUUAUGAGUCUGCUGAUGUAAAAGUAUCCCAACCACUUGCACAUAAAGAGAAGUAAUUUAUUACUUAAGAUAAGACAGGAACACUACACCAGACAAGGCAAAGAAGAAAAUGACAUGUCUUAAAGAGAUAACUGAAGAUGAUGUGAAAAUGAGGAGAAUGAACUGGAGGUUAGAUUAGGGGCAAGAAAACCAGUUAAGAGGUUGUUGUAGUAAUCCACCUGCUUGAUUAGGAGGGUCUAAACUAAGACAGUAAGAAAAAAAGAGGAGUCCUUUGCGGCUACUUCCACCAUCAUCCUUUCUGUUGCUGCCCUGGUACAACUCGGGGUUGGGUAAAGGACUCUCAUUUGGAGUGAAUCUUGAACAGAGAGGCUUAAGGACACAAGAAACACUGUUUACUUCUUCUGACUUAGAGGUAGCGCUUCUGCUGUCAAGUCGUCUCUUUCCUUGUUCCUGUCUCAUUUGGAACAUGGUUUACCAGCCUUACUGUUGCUUCUGUGAACUCCCUAAUAAAUUCUUAUUUUGCUGUAGUUAGCCAAAUUGGUUCCUAGGGCUUACAAUAAAAAAAACACCUCUAAUUGACACUGUGUGUGACCUUUGAGGCACCUGUGGAUAACCAGGUGGAGACUGUUAGUUAGAAAUAUGAAACUAGAAGAGGGGUUUUCAAAGUGAUGUAUCAGCGUUACCUAAGAACUUGUUAGAAAUGUAAAUUCUCAGGCCCCACCCCAGACUAACUGAAUAUGAAACUUGAGGAACAGGGCCCUGGCAGUCUGAAUAUCAGUAAGCCCUCUGGGUGAUUGUAAUGCAUUGGUUUGAGAACCAAUUAAACUACAGUUUAGAAGAGAGUUUGAGGGUGGAGAUAAAGGUGUGAGUCAAAUCAAUGACAGUUACUUUGGGAGGGAAUGAAUAAAUGCCCAGAAGACUGUAAGAGAAGAUAAACCCCUGAAGCCCUGAAGUAGAUGAAACAGUCAAAGAAGUUAAUAGUAGUGCAGUCCAAGAGCGGGGGAUUUUAACGGAGGUGUCAGAUGCUAUACAGAGGCCAAAGUGUAUGAGGACAGAGCCAAAGUGAUUGGACAGACCAUUAUGAGGUUUUGGCUUCAAUUGAGAGAGAAGUGGUACAGAUAACAAAAAUAAGUGGUAAGAGAACAAAGGUUAAAAAAGAAUACAGGAUACUUUUUGCAGUAGAUUAGGAGUGCAAGAAAGAAAGUUGGGAUAGAUAGACAUUGGGAACAAUGUCUCAAGUUAGUUAUUGCUGAAUAACAAACAUUUUAAAACACAGUGGUUUAAGACAGUAAUUGUUACAGUUCAAGUGUCUGAGGGUUGGCUAAUCUCUGCUGGGCUUGCUCAUACUUCUGAAAGCCUACUGGGGGGUUUCCUCUAGGCUGGGCUCUAUUUCACAUAUCUGUCAUCCUCCUGGGACUCUGACUUGCCUAAGCAUGUCUUUCUCACGGAGAUGGAAGAGGAGUUUUGUUUUCGGCUUUAUUGUCAUUGCAGUAUUUUUAAAAUUAUAGUACAGUUGGUGUGCAAUAUUAUGUAAAUUAUAGGUGAACAAUAUAGUGAUUCACAUUUUUAAAGGCUAUACUCAUUUGUAAUUAUCAUAAAAUAUUAGCUGUAUGGCCUGUGUUGUACAGUGUAUCCUUGUAGCUUAUUUUAUAUAUCGUAGUUUGUACCUCUUAAUUCCCAACCCCUAUAUUGCCCCUCCCCCCACUGUUAACCACUGGUUCUCUGUCAGUCUGCUUUUGUACUAUAUUCACAGUUUGUUGUGUUUUUUAGAUUCCACAUAUAAGUGAUAUACAGUAUCUUUCUCUGACUUAUUUCAUUUAACAUAAAAUCCAUCCCUGUUGCCGCAAAUGGCAAAAUGUCGUUCUUUUUUAUGACUGAGUAGUACUCCAUCGUGCAUAUGUACCACACCUUCUUUAUCCAGUCAUCUGCUGAUGGACACUUAGGUUGCUUCCAUGUCUUGGCAAUUGUAAAUAAUGCUGCUGUGCACUUUGGGGUACAUGUAUCUUUUUGAAUUAGUGGUCUUUUUCUUCAAUUUUUGUUUUUUUCUUAUCUGGAAGAUGAGUCUUAAGAGGGCAAGUAGAAAUACACAAGGCUUCUUGAGGUCUAGAUUCCAAACUGACAUGCUGGCCCUUCUGCCUCAUUGCGUUGGCCAGGUAAUGUGACCAGGCCCAGAUUCCAGGGUUGGGAAAUAGACUCCACCUCUCUAGAGAAGUUGCAGAGUGGCAUGGUAAAGGCAUGAGUUCACACAAGUGGGGAAGGUUUGGGACCAUGAAUACCACCGUAGGAAUGACAGGAGUAUGCUUGAAAGUAGAAAUGAAGGAAUAUGUAGGAUGAAGAAGAAGGUGAAGUAAGGAGAAAGAUCAAUACCAUAGGUCAGAGAAUUAACCCUUGGAAAAAGGAAAGAAUACUUCUGGGAAUGGAAAGAGAGGAAUUUGAUUGAAUUAGAUUUAGCAAAUUAAAUUCAAGAUGCCCAGUAAAAUUUAAACUUCAGGUAAACAAUGAACAAGUUUUUAGUAUUAAGUAUGUUCUAUACAAUAUUUGGCUGGAGAAGGAAAUGGCAGAAUACUCCCGUAUUCUUGCCUGGGAAAUCCCACGGACAGAGGAGCCAUGGGGCUGCAAAGAUCCGGACAUGACUGAGGACUCACGGCGUGGCAUACAAUAUUUGAUAGGCUCUCGGUCUGCUAUUUUUAUUGGUGUAAAUACCACUUAAAUAUUUAUGUAAUGCAGUAUUUUGGACUCAUUUACCCUAAACUAUGUUUCCUUAUUUAUUUGAAAUUCAGAUAACUCCUGACAACCUACAUUUUGACAACCCUACUUUGGAUGACUUUUCAAUAAAGCCAUGUAUUAAUUGAUGUUGCCUGGAAAGAAAAUGAUGACCAGAGAAAUGGCUAUGCUCUUGGUGUUUUAAAAUAAGAGAAUUCCGUGGACAGAGGAGCCUGGAGGGCCAGAGUCUGUACGGUUGCGAAGAGUUGGACAUAACUGAGCAAAGAGUUGGACACGACCUGAAGUCUCAGGUAAACGCCUUGUAGCUUCCAGUAGGUUUCUGCAGCUAGAAACGCAGUCAUCUGUAACCCAGAUGAGGAAAUUCUGGAGCCUGAUAUUAAGACAGGGCUCCAGAAGAACCCUUCAACUGGGUGUACUGGUGGUGCCGAGAGUGCCAAAGGACAGGUUCCCCUGCCAACCAGCAUGACAGCAAAGUCUGCAUGAAGAUGGUAAACAGGAAAAGGAAUCAAAUCCAAGUAACUAGAGUUGUCAGGUGAUGCCAUGGAGGAGCCUCUAGACUCACAGAUGUUUCUUCUGCAUUAAUUAACAACGUCUCCAGUAACUUCAAAGAUACCUACUUCUAGGGACUUCGCUGGCAGUCCAGUGGUUGAGAUUCCACCUUCCAGUGCAGGAAGUGCGGGUUCAGUCCCUGGUAGAGGAGCUGAACUCCCUCCUGACUCACUGCCAAAAAGCCAAAACAAAAACAGCAAAAGCAAUAUUGUAACAAAUUCAAUGACUGAAAAUGGUCCACAUCAAAGAAUAUGUUUUCCUACUUCUAGAUCUCUGAAUUCCUAACCACUGAUGGAGAGUCCAAAUUUGGGAUAUCAGGCUCAGAAACUCCCAGAAAUAGCUUAGGACAGUUCUCAAAGUGUGUUCCUGGGAACAGCAGUGUUACCAAACUCACCUGGGAACUUGUUAAAAAUGCAAAUUAAUAAGCCGAUCCCAGACAUACUAAAUCAAAGUGGGGUCCAGGAAUCUGUGCUUUAACAAGAUUCUGAUCUUGGUGUGUACCAAGGUUUGAAAACCACGGCCUAGGAAGAUGAAGGAUUAUCCAGAUCCUCCACGUUAACCUAGAGUUAACUAGCAACAGCUGCCUGAGACUAGUGUCUGCCUUCCCUCCUUCCUCCAGCCUCUAACCAGUGCUGUGGUUAGAGUUAGGUGACUCUCUCAACCAAGAUGAUUACCCAGUUGGUCAUUUUUUUUCCUUGAAAACUCCAAGGAAAAUUUUGGGUAGGUAGCAGAUGAUCAGUAAUAACUGAAUUGAAAUCUUAAAACUCAUUGUUUAUGAUAGGGGAAUUGGAAAUAACUUAAAUGAGGUUUGAUUAAAAACAAAUUCUGUGAGGAUUGGGAACAACACUGACCACCACUGCGUUCACUAUAUUCUCAUUGCCUAAUACAGAGAAAGUGUUCAAUAUUUGUUGGUUGAAUGAAUGAAUAUAUAUUGAAUAUUAUAAUGAAUAUAUAAUGAAUAUAUAUUACAUGUUGAAUGAAUGAGUGAAUAUAUAUUCAUAUAUAUUCAAAUUUUGAAGUACAGUGUAGCCAGUUGAAAAGUUUUCUGAAAGCAGUCUCCCAUAUACCCCAAUACUCAAAAAUCAAUGUUUAUAGCAACUUUAUGCAUAAUUGCCCAUCGCUGGAAACAACCCAAAUGUCUUUCACCUGGUGAAUGAAUCAAGGAGGGGGACUGCAUUUGGGAUAUUAGUUGAGGGGACUUCAUUUUAUAUGUUAUUGUUUGAAUUAUUUAUAAGAAUUUAUUUAUGUAUUACAUAAUUAAGCAAUAAACAACAUUUUAGAGACUGGAAGGAUAAACACCCACAAUGUCAAUAGUAGUUAUCUCUGAUGGAAUGACAAAUGAUUUUUUUUCUUAUUUGUAGUUUCUAAUUUUUCUAUAUAUACAGGUUAUGCUUUUAUAACUGGAAAAAAAUGUUACUUUAAAAAUGGGGAGAGGGACACCCAGGAAGCAUGACACAUGAAAAAAUUUAUACGAAUUAGAAAUGUGAGGAUUUCCCUGGUGGUCCAGAGCAGGGGGCAUGGGUUUGAUCCAUGUUUGGGGAGCUAAGAUCUCUCAUGCCACAUGAUGCAGCCAAAAAAAAAGAAAUAUAAAGGUUAUAAAAAUAUCUAAAGCAUAGUUUCACUGGAAAAAGAAUUUGGAUACUUCCUCCUCAAAUUUGAUAUCCAUACAAAUUACCUGGAGUACCUGUUGAGUUCAGAUUCUGAUUCCAAGGAUUUGCAUUUCUCACAAGCUCCUGGUCCUUAGAGCACUUGAAUAUCAGGCUAUAAGACUGUAUUGUCAAAACAGCCACUAACCAGCCACACAAGCAUUUGAAAUGUGGUGAGUCCAAACAGAGGUGUACAGGUGUAAAUUACACCUCAGAUUUUGAAGACCUAACACACACACCAAAAACUUAAAACAUCUUAAUUAUAUCAAUUACAUGUUGAAAUGAUACUUUUGGACAUAUGAUGUUAAGUAAUAUAUUAAAAUUAAUUUCACCUGUUUCUUUUUACUGUUUUAAUGUGGCUACCAGAAUAUUUUAAAUUACAUUUGUGGUUUGUAUUUUUUGGCUCGUAUUAUAUUUUUAUUGGACAGCACUGAUCUAGAAUAACUAUUAACAAGAUUGUUCCUUCACUCUAGGUCUUAAAUCACUGCCAUAAUUCAGGAAAGGGAUUAAAACCUCAUUAAUGGUCAAAUUGGCAACUUUCAUAUAUUAUUCAUUAAGUUCACAUCCUUAGGAUUUCUUAAAAUCUUUAGGUAAAGCCUGAGACAAAUAGAAAUUGUAGAAUUUUAGAUCAGGAAAGAAACCUUGAGGUCAAUUUCAGACCCCUUAUCUUAUGGAAUUACUUAUCAAUUUGACAAAAAUGUAUUUAGUACUUAGUAUCUGUGAGUAUUACCUGAUGGGCAAGCAAUUAAGGUGAACACCUACUCUUGAGAAGCUAAGAAUGAUGGUAAUGGGCUAUACCAGCACUCAUGAGACAUGUGGAUAGAGUGUUUCUCAGACACAGAAGCAGAGGCCAGCACAGACUCCAUUUUCCUGAGGAAGAUCUAACAAACUCUACACAAAGAGGGCUUAUUUGGUCUGGCCCCAAGUUGCCCCAGCUUUUACAGCUUCUGUUUGCUAUCAGUGAUGCAAAUAAGGCUUUAGGAUCAGCUGUGUAUUUAAAUAAUCCAUAUAAGGCAUGUUCUCCCUUUUCUUUUACAUAAAAUAGAUGCACUAUUCAUCAGAAAGCAAGGAAAUUUAAACCUGAGAAACUUUGGAAGUUUGAACACAGUUGAUAGUAGCAGAAUGAGAUUUGGGGUAUAGCACAGCCAACCUUCAAUUAUG